UGGGGAAUAUUGCACAAUGGGGGAAACCCUGACGCAGCAACGCCGCGUGAGUGAGGAAGGUUUUCGAAUCGUAAAGCUCUGUCAGGUGGAAAGAAAUGCAUGGAAGUUAAUAGCUUCCAUGCUUGACGGUACCACCAGAGGAAGCACCGGCUAACUCCGUGCCAGCAGCCGCGGUAAUACGGAGGAUGCGAGCGUUAUCCGGAUUUAUUGGGUUUAAAGGGCAGGUAGGCGGAUCAGUAAGUCGGACGUUUAAUCCUCGGUCUUAAGCUGAGACAUGCGUUUGAUACUGUUGAUCUAGAAUGCGGCGGGGGAAGACGGAAUUCCGGGUGUAGCGGUGGAAUGCGCAGAUAUCCGGAGGAACACCGGUGGCGAAGGCGGCUUCCUGGACCAAUACUGACGCUGAGGCGCGAAGGCGUGGGGAGCAAACA
rnacentral:rRNA from 1 species